rnacentral:rRNA from 1 species
UACGAAGGGGGCUAGCGUUGUUCGGAAUUACUGGGCGUAAAGCGUAUGUAGGCGGAUCGUUAAGUCGGGGGUGAAAUCCCGAGGCUCAACCUCGGAACUGCCUUUGAUACUGGGGAUCUGGAGUCCGGGAGAGGUGAGCGGAACUGCGAGUGUAGAGGUGAAAUUCGUAGAUAUUCGCAAGAACACCAGUGGCGAAGGCGGCUCACUGGCCCGGAACUGACGCUGAGGUGCGAAAGCGUGGGGAGCAAACAGG